AAACAGAGCAGCUCUUCAUUUCCUGUAAUGUGGGCCGUCGGACCGGUUUGUGGAAUCGUCCUCGUUGUUCUCCUGCUGCUUCUGAUUCGCUUCAUAAGGUUCAAAGGUACAUCUGACUUGUAUGACUCAAUGAGACCCUCUGAAGAUCCUGUAAACGAUGCAAACGACGACCAACACGUCACCUACUCUCUCCUUGAAUUUAAAAACUCCGGAAACAAAAGGGGCCAUCGUGAACCAGAGGAGGGCACCGUUUAUUCUGAUGUGAGAGCAGGAGCUGCAGG